GAUGAACGCUGGCGGCGUGCCUAAUACAUGCAAGUCGAGCGAACGGACGAGAAUCUUGCUUCUCUGAUGUUAGCGGCGGACGGGUGAGUAACACGUGGAUAACCUACCUAUAAGACUGGGAUAACUUCGGGAAACCGGAGCUAAUACCGGAUAAUAUUUUGAACCUCAUGAUUCAAAAGUGAAAGACGGUCUUGCUGUCACUUAUAGAUGGAUCCUCGCUGCAUUAGCUAGUUGGUAAGGUAACGGCUUACCAAGGCAACGAUGCAUAGCCGACCUGAGAGGGUGAUCGGCCAGACUGGAACUGAGACACGGUACAGAGUCAUACGGGCGGCAGCAGUAGGGAAUCUUCCGCAAUGGGCGAAAGACUGACGGAGCAACGCCGAGUGAGUGAUGAAGGUCUUCGGAUCGUAAAACUCUGUUAUUAGGGAAGAAAAUAUGUGUAAGUAACUGUGAACAUCUUGACGGUACCUAAUCAGAAAGCCACGGCUAACUACGUG
rnacentral:rRNA from 1 species